GCCUGUCUAGCUCAACUGGUAGAGCAUGGCAUGCACAUUGCCAGGGGUUCGACUCCUACUGGGGCAGCCCA